GAUGAACGCUGGCGGCGUGCCUAAUACAUGCAAGUCGAGCGAACGGACGAGAAGCUUGCUUUUCUGAUGUUAGCGGCGGACGGGUGAGUAACACGUGGAUAACCUACCUAUAAGACUGGGAUAACUUCGGGAAACCGGAGCUAAUACCGGAUAAUAUUUUGAACCGCAUGGUUCAAAAGUGAAAGACGGUCUUGCUGUCACUUAUAGAUGAAUCCGCGCUGCAUUAGCUAGUUGGUAAGGUAACGGCUUACCAAGGCAACGAUGCAUAGCCGACCUGAGAGGGUGAUCCGCCACACUGGAGCUGAGACACGGUCCAGACUCCUACGGGAGGCAGCAGUAGGGAAUCUUCCGCGAUGGGCGAAAGCCUGACGGAGCAACGCCGCGUGAGUGAUGAAGGUCUUCGGAUCGUAAAACUCUGUUAUUAGGGAAGAACAUAUGUGUAAGUAACUGUGCACAUCUUGACGGUACCUAAUCAGAAAGCCACGGCUAACUACGUG
rnacentral:rRNA from 1 species